rnacentral:rRNA from 1 species
CUAUAAUGGAGAGUUUGAUCCUGGCUCAGGACGAACGCUGGCGGCGUGCCUAAUACAUGCAAGUCGAGCGGAAGUUGAAGAGCUUGCUCUUCAACUUUAGCGGCGGACGGGUGAGUAACACGUGGGCAACCUGCCCUGCAGAUCGGGAUAACUCCGGGAAACCGGUGCUAAUAC